rnacentral:rRNA from 1 species
CCUACGGGAGGCAGCAGUGAGGAAUAUUGGUCAAUGGGCGCGAGCCUGAACCAGCCAAGUAGCGUGAAGGAUGACUGCCCUACGGGUUGUAAACUUCUUUUAUAAAGGACUAAAGUGAGGCACGUGUGCCUUUUUGUAUGUACUUAAUGAUUAAGGACCGGCUAAAUCCGUGCCAUCAGCCGCGGUAAUACGGAGGAUCCGAGCGUUAUCCGGAUUUUUUGGGUUUAAAGGGAGCGUGGAUGGGUUGUAAAGUCAGUGGUGACAGUCUGCGGCUCAACCGUAAAAUUGCAAUUGAUACUGGCAGCCUGGAGUACAGUUGAGGUAGGCGGAAUGCGUGGUGUAGCGGUGAAAUGCUUAGAUAUCACGAAGAACUCCGAUUGCGAAGGCAGCCUACUAAACUGCCACUGACGUUGAUGCUCGAAAGUGUGGGUAUCAAACAGGAUUAGAUACCCCAGUAGUC